UGUUUCGGCUAGGGGGCCAUCCCGGCUUACCAACCCGAUGCAAACUGCGAAUACCGGAGAAUGUUAUCACGGGAGACACACGGCGGGUGCUAACGUCCGUCGUGAAGAGGGAAACAACCCAGACCGCCAGCUAAGGUCCCAAAGUCAUGGUUAAGUGGGAAACGAUGUGGGAAGGCCCAGACAGCCAGGAUGUUGGCUUAGAAGCAGCCAUCAUUUAAAGAAAGCGUAAUAGCUCACUGGUCGAGUCGGCCUGCGCGGAAGAUGUAACGGGGCUAAACCAUGCACCGAAGCUGCGGCAGCGAACGUAUCACCCAAGACAACUUUACGGAGUUAACGAUUGACGGAGCGAAGCGACGUCAAAGCGUUCAUUAAAGUCGAGUUGGCUUAGGGAUACGUUCGUUGGGUAGGGGAGCGUUCUGUAAGCCUGUGAAGGUGGCCUGUGAGGGUUGCUGGAGGUAUCAGAAGUGCGAAUGCUGACAUAAGUAACGAUAAAGCGGGUGAAAAGCCCGCUCGCCGGAAGACCAAGGGUUCCUGUCCAACGUUAAUCGGGGCAGGGUGAGUCGACCCCUAAGGCGAGGCCGAAAGGCGUAGUCGAUGGGAAACGGGUUAAUAUUCCCGUACUUGGUGUUACUGCGAAGGGGGGACGGAGAAGGCUAUGUUGGCCGGGCGACGGUUGUCCCGGUUUAAGCGUGUAGGCUGGUUUUCCAGGCAAAUCCGGAAAAUCAAGGCUGAGGCGUGAUGACGAGGCACUACGGUGCUGAAGCAACAAAUGCCCUGCUUCCAGGAAAAGCCUCUAAGCAUCAGGUAACAUCAAAUCGUACCCCAAACCGACACAGGUGGUCAGGUAGAGAAUACCAAGGCGCUUGAGAGAACUCGGGUGAAGGAACUAGGCAAAAUGGUGCCGUAACUUCGGGAGAAGGCACGCUGACAUGUAGGUGAAGUGAUUUACUCAUGGAGCUGAAGUCAGUCGAAGAUACCAGCUGGCUGCAACUGUUUAUUAAAAACACAGCACUGUGCAAACACGAAAGUGGACGUAUACGGUGUGACGCCUGCCCGGUGCCGGAAGGUUAAUUGAUGGGGUCAGCGCAAGCGAAGCUCCUGAUCGAAGCCCCGGUAAACGGCGGCCGUAACUAUAACGGUCCUAAGGUAGCGAAAUUCCUUGUCGGGUAAGUUCCGACCUGCACGAAUGGCGUAAUGAUGGCCAGGCUGUCUCCACCCGAGACUCAGUGAAAUUGAACUCGCUGUGAAGAUGCAGUGUACCCGCGGCAAGACGGAAAGACCCCGUGAACCUUUACUAUAGCUUGACACUGAACAUUGAGCCUUGAUGUGUAGGAUAGGUGGGAGGCUUUGAAGUGUGGACGCCAGUCUGCAUGGAGCCGACCUUGAAAUACCACCCUUUAAUGUUU
rnacentral:rRNA from 1 species